UUUGAAAGAAGCUGCUGCAUCAUGGUCUCUACAAUAGACUCCAUAUCCUAGCAAUUAGUCAAUCACAAUAGUUACAAAAGCAUUCCAAGCAAGUGAGAAGAAGCAAUUUAUAAGAAAAAGAUAUACACCACAGAGUAUAUGGUAGUUCCUUCGUGCCCAUUCUGGAUGAUUGGAGAAAUGGGAUAGAAGACUAUCGAAGGAAUUGAAAAUUUUAGGAGCUAUUUACUACAUUUUACUUGUAUUUUUUGGUGCAAACAAGAUAUCUCUUAAUGUACAAGAUAGUUCGAAGUACUUUUUAGAGGCUUACUGUAAUAGUCAUGGUGUAUAAUAGAUGUAACAUCGUGUGCAAUUAACAGAAUGAUUUUGACUUAUUAAGCGAAAGGGAGAAUAUAAAAGAGAAUAAGGCAACAGGAAUUGCUUUCAACUAUCGGUAACCAAAACAUAAAAUGCAAAUCCACUAUGAAAAGCUUUCAGGCUGAUCGAGGGAGAAACCUAUCUCGAGCCAAUCAUGCAGUUUCCUGACCAUAUAAACAUCUUAACCCACACUUGCACAUGUAGCACCAAGUUAACCGUAUCUCGCCUCCAAGUCCAUUACAACAACAACUACCCAGUAUAGUCCCACAAAGCGGGGGUCUGGGGAGGAUAAUAUGUAGACGAGCCUUACCCCUAUCCGAAAGGGCAGAGAGGUUGUUUUCAAUCGACCCUCGGCUCAGUGAAGGAAAGGAAAAACAAA
rnacentral:lncRNA from 1 species